GUGAAAUUCUGAGACCCUCAUGUGACCAACUAAGGCGAAAGCUGUCGUGGGCCACCACAAGCUCGUCUAUCAGGGACGAAAGUUGGGUUAUCGAAGACGAUUAGAUACCGUCGUAGUCCCAACUAUAAACGAUACCAACCGAGUAUUUGGGAAGACACUAUCCCAGCGAUCUUCUCAGAACUCAAGGGAAACCUUAAGUCUUUGGGUUCUGGGGGGGAGUAUAGUCGCAAGACCGAAACUUAAAGGAAUUGACGGAAAGGCUCCACCMGGAGKGGAGSCKGCGGG
rnacentral:rRNA from 1 species